GUUAGGUUAAGUCCCGUAACGAGAGCAAACCUUAUCCUUUGUUGCCAGCACGUAAUGGCGGGAACUCAAAGGAGACUGCCGGUGAUAAACCGGAGGAAGGUGGGGAUGACGUCAAGUCAUCAUGGCCCUUACGAGUAGGGCUACACACGUGCUACAAUGGCGUAUACAAAGAGAAGCGAACUCGCGAGAGCAAGCGGACCUCAUAAAGUACGUCGUAGUCCGGAUCGGAGUCUGCAACUCGACUCCGUGAAGUCGGAAUCGCUAGUAAUCGUAGAUCAGAAUGCUACGGUGAAUACGUUCCCGGGCCUUGUACACACCGCCCGUCA
rnacentral:rRNA from 1 species